GACGAACGCUGGCGGCGCGCUUAACACAUGCAAGUCGAGCGAAGCGGCGGACGGGUGAGUAACACGUGAGUAACCUGCCUUAGACAUUGGGAUAGCCUCGGGAAACCGGGAUUAAUACCAAAUGGUCUAAGAUGGAUUCGCGUCCCAUUAGCUAGUUGGUGAGGUAACGGCCCACCAAGGCGACGCUGGGUAGCCGGCCGGUGAGUGUUAGCGGCCAAAUUUGAACUGAGAAACCGGCCAAAAUCGACGGGGGGCAGGAGUGGGGAAUAUUGCACUAUUGAGGGAAGUCGGAUGCAGCGAAGUUGUGUGAACAUAGAUGGCUUUUCAGUCGUAAAUUGCUUUUAUAUGGUGAGCGGUACCUUAAUAACAAGCCCCGGCUAACUACGUGCCAGCAGCCGCGGUAAUUC
rnacentral:rRNA from 1 species